rnacentral:lncRNA from 1 species
GUUCUCAAAAGAUCUGAUGGUUUUAUAAGGCAGUUUUCCCUUCUCUUGCUAGUUCUCUCUUUCCUGCCACCACAUGAAGAUAGACUUUGCUUCCCGUUUACCUUCCGCCAUGACUGUAGGCUUCUUGAGGCAUCUCCAGCCAUAUGGAACUCUCACUCAGCACCUUCUAAUUCGGUGAUGGAUCCUCGAGCAAGUUGGGCUGGAGCAAGAGAAAGCCUUGAUUAUGCCAAAGAGGUCACUGUGGCGCAGUGGCCAACAUUUUUCUGUGUGAAUUAAUAUAUCAGUGUCUGUGUUGGAGAAGAGUCUUGGGGUGAAAAUCUACAGAUCUGAGACCUGAAACCACACCAUGUGAUGAUUAUUCCCGCUUACAGGCAGCAAGUGGGAUAAGCAGGCUGUGAUAUUGCAAAAAGAAAGCUGAUAUUCUUUCUGGAAGGUAGACCACAUCAAAGACAGAGAAAAAGGUAACACCAGCAAAAAUUUCCACCCAAACCCUCUUGGUUCACAG